rnacentral:tRNA from 1 species
CCUGUAGCUCAGUCGGACAGAGCAUCGGAUUUCUAAUCCGGCGGUCGCAGGUUCGAGCCCUGCCAGG